rnacentral:rRNA from 1 species
UUCCUACGGGGCGCAGCAGUGGGGAAUAUUGGGCAAUGGGCGCAAGCCUGACCCAGCAACGCCGCGUGAAGGAAGAAGGCUCUCGGGUUGUAAACUUCUUUUAUCAGGGACGAAGCAAGUGACGGUACCUGAUGAAUAAGCCACGGCUAAUUACGUGCCAGCAGCCGCGGUAAUACGUAGGUGGCAAGCGUUAUCCGGAUUUACUGGGUGUAAAGGGCGUGUAGGCGGGAAAGCAAGUCGGAUGGGAAAACCAUGGGCUCAACCUGUGGCCUGCAUUUGAAACUGUUUUUCUUGAGUACUGGAGG